rnacentral:lncRNA from 1 species
AGAUUUCCUGACGUUGACAUCCAAGCAAGAAAGGCGUGUACCUGAGGACCUGCCCGUGGUAGAAGUCUCAGCUUUUCUCAGAGACAGAGAUUAUGAUUGUGACAAGCAAGAACAUCUCCAGUAAUGAAGGUGCUGAUGGACAAGACCCUGGAUAGCUCUUCUUUUGCAGAGAAGGUCAUCAAUCCUGAGAACCACAGAUUAUCACUGUGUCAUCCACAAUGCAUAUAACAAAUUGAUUCAUAAAGCAGGGCUUACUCCAUAAUUAUUCAACUGAAAUGGAUAUUUGGGAAUCAUGGAAGGGGAAACAGCUCUCACAAUCAACCCUGGAGCGUGAUGACAUCAGUGACAACAGCACGCACGGAACAGGUGCACGUAUGAGCUACCUACUAAUACGCCCUGGAUUUUGAUUGUAUUUUGUGAAAACCUUGGUAUGGGUUAUUUUUAAAUGAAUGCUUUCCCAAAUUUGAUGCUGAAACUGGGAUGCAUCAAAAUUAGCUUGGUCAUAAUCUUGUCAGUGAUGUCAUCCAGAGGCCACCAGAAACACACCUGUAGCCCAGCAAAGUUGAGGCCAUCGACUGGCUGAUCACAGCAAGGAAGGCUGUGCACCACCGGGAGCCAGCAGCAGCUCAGCAGCAGCAGUGAGAGGGCCUUGGGAAAGACUUGGAGGGUUUGCCUUAUAUGAGGUGAUCUUGGGGAGAGUCAAGGAAACAGGUUGUGAUGGAUACUAUUGAGUGUCAACUUGGUUGGAUUGAAGGAUGCAAAGGAUUGUUCCUGGGUGUGCCUGUAAGAGUGUUGCCAAAGGAGAUUAACAUUUGAGUCAGUGGACUGGCAGAGGCAGACUCACCCUUAAACUGGGUGGGCACCAUCUAAUCAGCCGCCACAGCAGCUAAAAUAAAGCAGGCAGAAGAAGUUGGAAUGAGCAGACUUGCUGAGUCUUCCAGCCUUCAUCUUUCUCCCAUGCUGGAUGCUUCCUGCCCUUGAACAUCAGACUCCAGGUCCUUUUCAGCUUUUGGACUCUUGGAUUUACACCAGUGGUUUGCCAGGGGCUCCCAGGCCUUUAGCCACAGACUGAAGGCUGCACUGUCAGCCUCUCUACCUUUGAAGUUUGGGACUCAGACUGGCUUCUUGGCUCCUCAGCUUGCAGUCGGCCUAUUGUGAGACUUCCCCUUGUGAUCAUGUGAGCCAGCUCUCCUAAUAAACUCCCCUUCAUAUAUA